rnacentral:rRNA from 1 species
AGAGUUUGAUCAUGGCUCAGAGCGAACGUUAGCGGCGCGCCUAACACAUGCAAGUCGAGCGUGAAAGGGGCAACCUGAGUAAAGCGGCGGACGGGUGCGUAACACGUAGAUAACCUGCCCUUUGGAGGGGGAUAACGUUCCGAAAGGAACGCUAAUACCGCGUAAAGCGUUUGGUGGUUCGCCACUAGACGGCAAAGACUGGGACCCGCAAGGGCCAGUCGCCAGAGGAGGGGUCUGCGGCCCAUCAGCUAGUUGGUGAGGUAAUGGCUCACCAAGGCAAAGACGGGUAGCUGGUCUGAGAGGAUGAUCAGCCACACUGGUACUGGAACACGGACCAGACUCCUACGGGAGGCAGCAGUGGGGAAUCUUGGUCAAUGGGCGCAAGCCUGAACCAGCGACGCCGCGUGAGUGAUGAAGGCCUUCGGGUUGUAAAGCUCUGUGGGGAGGGACGAAAGAGCACGUUCUAACAGGACGUGUGUUGACGGUACCUCCUUAGCAAGCACCGGCUAACUCUGUGCCAGCAGCCGCGGUAAGACAGAGGGUGCAAACGUUGCUCGGAAUCACUGGGCGUAAGGGGCGUGUAGGCGGGCGUGCAAGUCAGGCGUGAAAUCCCUGGGCUCAACCCAGGAAUUGCACUUGAAACUGCACGUCUUGAGUAUCGGAGAGGAAAGUGGAAUUCCUGGUGUAGAGGUGAAAUUCGUAGAUAUCAGGAGGAACACCGGUGGCGAAGGCGGCUUUCUGGACGAUAACUGACGCUGAGACGCGAAAGCGUGGGGAGCAAACAGAUUAGAUACCCNNGUAGUCC